rnacentral:rRNA from 1 species
AUUGAACGCUGGCGGAAUGCUUUACACAUGCAAGUCGAACGGUAGAGGGGGCAACCCCUCGAGAGUGGCGAACGGGUGAGUAAUAUAUCGGAACGUGCCCAGUCGUGGGGGAUAACGUAGCGAAAGUUACGCUAAUACCGCAUACGAUCUAAGGAUGAAAGCGGGGGAUCGCAAGACCUCGCGCGAUUGGAGCGGCCGUUAUCAGAUUAGGUAGUUGGUGGGGUAAAGGUUCACCAAGCCAACGGGCUGUAGCUGGUCUGAGAGGACGACCAGCCACACUGGAACUGAGACACGGUCCAGACUCCUACGGGAGGCAGCAGUGGGGAAUUUUGGACAAUGGACGCAAGUCUGAUCCAGCCAUUCCGCAUGCAGGAUGAAGGCCCUCGGGUUGUAAACUGCUUUUGUACGGAACGAAAAGGUCUCUCUUAAUACGGGGGACUCAUGACGGUACCGUAAGAAUAAGCACCGGCUAACUACGUGCCAGCCGCCGCAGUAACAC